AGAAGAAUGGGACAGGGAAAGGGAGAAGAAGAGGUGGGCCAGGAAACAGAAGAAUGGGACAGGGAAAGGGAGGAGAAGAAGAGGUGGGCCAGGAAACAGAAGAAUGGGACAGGGAAAGAAGGAGAAGAAGAGGUGGGCCAGGAAACAGAAGAAUGGGACAGGGAAAGAAGGAGAAGAAGAGGUGGGCCAGGAAACAGAAGAAUGGGACAGGGAAAGGGAGGAGAAGAAGAGGUGGGCCAGGAAACAGAAGAAUGGGACAGGGAAAGGAGGAGAAGAAGAGGUGGCAGGAAACAGAAGAAUGGGACAGGGAAAGGAGGAGAAGAAGAGGUGGGCCAGAAAACAGAAGAAUGGGACAGGGAAAGGGAGGAGAAGAAGAGGUGGGCCAGGAAACAGAAGAAUGGGACAGGGAAAGGGAGGAGAAGAAGAGGUGGGCCAGGAAACAGAAGAAUGGGACAGGGAAAGAAGGAGAAGAAGAGCUGGGCCAGGAAACAGAAGAAUGGGACAGGGAAAGAAGGAGAAGAAGAGGUGGGCCAGGAAACAGAAGAAUGGGACAGGGAAAGAAGGAGAAGAAGAGGUGGGCCAGGAAACAGAAGAAUGGGACAGGGAAAGAAGGAGAAGAAGAGGACCACCCUAGCCAAUGGAAGAGGACAGCCGGAGAAUCCAUCAGCCCACUGAGGGGAUAACGCACCCCUACUUGUGCACUUAUUAGUGCACGUGUACUGAGUCUGAGGCAGCAGAAAGAAGCCAUUUCCACAGGCAGCGGCCCAGAGUCCGGCGGGACUGGCGGGGAGGGAGGGAGGGAGAGAGUACAGGAACCUCGCUGUCUGGGGGAGAAGAGCUUUGCCCACUUUAACUGGCCAUGUUGCCCGAUCCCUGGGCAGUGCUGAUGGCGCCAGAGCAAGCAGGGAGGCAGGGAGGGCAGGCUCAGGGGGAAACUGCUCUGUGCU